rnacentral:tRNA from 1 species
AGAGAUGAAGCUCAGACAGUAGAGCACUGGCCUAGCAAGCAUGAAGUCCUGAGUUCAAACCCCAGGUACUUCUA